AGUCGUACAAGGUUUCCGUAGGUGAACCUGCGGAAGGAUCAUUAU
rnacentral:rRNA from 1 species